GAAAUGCGAUAAGUAAUGUGAAUUGCAGAAUUCAGUGAAUCAUCGAAUCUUUGAACGCACCUUGCGCUCCUUGGUAUUCCUUGGAGCAUGCCUGUUUGAGUAUCAUGAAAUCUUCAAAGUAAAUCUUUUGUUAACUCAAUUGGUUUCUACUUUGGUAUUGGAGGUCUUCGCAGCUUCACACCUGCUCCUCUUUGUUCAUUAGCUGGAUCUCAGUGUUAUGCUUGGUUCCACUCAGCGUGAUAAGUUAUCUAUCGCUGAGGACACUGUAAAAGGUGGCCAAGGUAAAUGCAGAUGAACCGCUUCUAAUAGUCCAUUGACUUGGACAAUACUUUUAUGAUCUGAUCUCAAAUCAGGUAGGACUACCCGCUGAACUUAAGC
rnacentral:misc_RNA from 1 species